CUUAUACUCCCUCCGUUCUGAAUUACUUUUCAUAGGUAUGGAUGUAUCUAGAUAUAUUUUAGUUCUAGAUACAUCCAUUUCUGCGACGAGUAAUUUGGAACGGAGGGAGUACAUA
rfam:Triticum aestivum genome assembly, contig: Triticum_aestivum_CS42_TGACv1_scaffold_003985_1AL